AUGUCCGUAGGGCCACCCCCAGCGCCGUCCUCUGUUCAAGGGCCAGGAUGCCCGCCAGCCCCGUCCCCAGGCGGCGCGCUCCGGCCGACCCCGGGCCGUGGACAAACCCCCGACGGCCCUGAAAACCUGGAAGCGGUUCCGUCCCCCGCCCCUCCGCCCCCGCCCAGGGCCGCUCCCGGCUCCAACAGGUUUUCCCCAGAACCCAAACUUGGGCGAAGUUUCACCCCCGCGCGCCCCAAGGUCCGGGCGCGGAGCCUCGGGAGCCUCGGGCGCUUCGCCGCGCAGCCCGCGGAGCCGGAGAGCCGAGCCCGGGAGUCGCAGCCGCAGCCGGAGCCGGAGCCGGAGCCGGUGCUGCGAGGACGCAGACAAAGCCCGGAGGCUCGGCGCGGCGGCGGCGGCGGAUGUGGCUGCGAUGGUGGCGGCGGCGGCCUCGGAUGCCACUUACCCGGCAGGUGCGCGCCCGGGCCGAGCGGGAACGGAGCGGGCCGAGCCCGGGCCGGAGCGGAGCGGAGCGGAGCCGGGCGGGCAGCAGCUGUCUCCGUGCGCCCGCCGCCGCCUCUGCUGCCGCGCCGCCCGCUGGCCCCGAGGGAGGGGGCGCGCCGGCGGCUCCACCCUCCUCCGCCCGCCCCCCGCGCCCCCUCCUCCUUCCACCCUUCAUCCCCGCUACCUGGCAGCUCGGGGGCGGAGACGGCGGCGGCGGGACCCGCUCCCGAGGGGCUGGCGGGGCUCCGGGAUCGGGGAUCCCAGAUGCAGCCGCGUCCCGGGAAGAGCGGGGCGCCCGCUACUCCCGGGAAAGGGUUCCCCUCUGAUCUGAUGCCCGCACUAGGCGCCGCCGACCAGCCCACCUGCAAAGGGCUCGAGCUGAGCCUCGGAGCCUCGUGGAUUGUCCCAGCCGCGCCCACAGGACCGGAGCGCCGCCCGGGGACGGCCCCCCCAAGGCCGUGGGGUGCGCUCACACAGCGCGGACGCUCGCCGCUCGCGCCUGGCAGAGCAGCCUUCAGUAAACGGGCGUCGGGGCCUCCCCUCUAG
rnacentral:lncRNA from 1 species